rnacentral:rRNA from 1 species
ACACCCGUUCCCAUACCGAACACGGAAGUUAAGCUCUUCAGCGCCGAUGGUAGUUGGGGGCUGUCCCCCUGUGAGAGUAGGACGUUGCCA